rnacentral:tRNA from 1 species
GCGGACGUGGUGGAACCGGUAGACACAAGGGACUUAAAAUCCCUCGGCCAUGCGCCGUGCGGGUUCGAGUCCCGCCGUCCGCACCA